rnacentral:rRNA from 1 species
GACGGAGGUUGCGAGCGUUGUUCGGAAUUACUGGGCGUAAAGGGGGCGCAGGCGGCUUGGUCAGUCUGAAGUGAAAGCCCGGGGCUCAACCCCGGAAGUGCUUUGGAUACUUCCAAGCUUGAGUACGCGAGAGGAGAGUGGAAUUCCAGGUGUAGCGGUGAAAUGCGUAGAUAUCUGGAGGAACACCGGUGGCGAAAGCGGCUCUCUGGCGCGAUACUGACGCUGAGGCCCGAAAGCGUGGGGAGCGAACGGGAUUAGAUACCCUCGUA